CAGGUUUCUGCUCAAAUUAUUGAACUUCCCAGCCAAAAAUAUCGUCUUAUAUUUUUGUUUGUGCAAAAUUUUAAUUUAGUUGAUAGUUAUUUGUUUAUUUUUCUUUUCAAAUUGCUUGUGUUUGUUUAUCUAGUUAACUUGCACCAUAUUCAUUUAGCGAUCGUUAUUUGCUCUCUUUUCGGGUAACACUCACUCACAAGCUUUUCCAAUUUGAGGGAUUUAAAAUUUAUGAGUUUAGACCAGUGUCCAUUUGAUUUAUUGGCUAGAAGAUUAUUAUUUGUAUAGUGAAUCUUUUAACAUAUACACCAUUCCGAGUCAAAGCUACUUGUUUAACUCAUAACAUAUACUGUUUUGUUCUAAUUUAUGUGACACAUUUUCUGUUAGUUUGUUCCAAAAGAAUGACAUAAUUUAUAUUUGAAAGACUUUAACUUUAAACUUUUAUUUUAACCUCAGUAAGAACUUUUUAUAACAGCACAAAUAUUAGACAAUACAUAGGACCACAAGUUUCAAAUAUCUUAUAAUUGUACAAAUAUUAUAGCAUGUUUAAUAUCACAACUUUCAAACUCUUUUUUCCUUAAAAAUAAAUUAUAUCACAUAAAUUAAAAUAGAAGGAGUAUACUACAUCAGUCAGCCCUAGUGGAGGGGACCUACAGUAAGCUUUUAAGUUUUCAAGAAUUCUGUAAUAGAUUAAGAACCUGUUAGUCAGUGUGUUCAUAAAAUUUUCAAAUUUAACUUCAAGAUGCAUUUUGAAAAUUUUCGAAAAUUUGAAAAACUCCAAAAAGUUAUUUUUCAAAAUUUCACACAAGUCACUCACACCACUUCGAAAACAACCCAAAAUUACCAUUUUCACUUGAAAUUUUUUUUCACCAUGUUUUGGAAUUUUACAAUUCUUAUGUCCAAACGCCCACUAAGUUUCUAACACUAGUUUGUAAUUCUUAUUGAGCAGGGGCUCAAUCGAUAGGUGUUUGCUAUGGAAUGCUAGGCAACAACUUGCCAAAUCAUUGGGAAGUUAUACAGCUCUACAAGUCAAGAAACAUAGGAAGAUUGAGGCUUUAUGAUCCAAAUCAUGGAGCUUUACAAGCAUUAAAAGGCUCAAACAUUGAAGUAAUGUUAGGACUUCCCAAUUCAGAUGUGAAGCACAUUGCUUCCGGAAUGGAACAUGCAAGAUGGUGGGUACAGAAAAAUGUUAAAGAUUUCUGGCCAGAUGUUAAGAUUAAGUAUAUUGCUGUUGGGAAUGAAAUCAGCCCUGUCACUGGCACAUCAUACCUUACCUCAUUUCUUACUCCAGCUAUGGUAAAUAUUUACAAAGCAAUUGGUGAAGCUGGUUUGGGAAACAACAUCAAGGUCUCAACUUCUGUAGACAUGACCUUGAUUGGAAACUCUUAUCCACCAUCACAGGGUUCGUUUAGGAACGAUGCUAGGUGGUUUGUUGAUCCCAUUGUUGGCUUCUUAAGGGACACACGUGCGCCUUUACUCGUUAACAUUUACCCCUAUUUCAGCUAUUCUGGUAAUCCAGGCCAGAUUUCUCUCCCCUAUUCUCUUUUUACAGCACCAAAUGUUGUAGUACAAGAUGGUUCACGCCAAUAUAGGAACUUAUUUGAUGCAAUGCUGGAUUCUGUGUAUGCUGCCCUUGAGCGAUCAGGAGGAGCAUCUGUAGGGAUUGUUGUGUCCGAGAGUGGCUGGCCAUCUGCUGGUGCAUUUGGAGCCACAUAUGACAAUGCACAAACUUACUUGAGGAACUUGAUUCAACACGCUAAAGAGGGUAGCCCAAGAAAGCCUGGACCUAUUGAAACCUAUAUCUUUGCCAUGUUUGAUGAGAAUAACAAGAACCCUGAACUGGAGAAACAUUUUGGAUUGUUUUCUCCCAACAAGCAGCCAAAAUAUAAUCUCAAUUUCGGCGUCUCUGGUGGAGUUUGGGACAGUUCGGUUGAAACUAAUGCUACUGCUUCUCUCAUAAGUGAGAUGUGAGCUGAUGAGACACUUGAAAGCUCUUUACAUAAGUAUUGUUUGGAUGGAAAGCUUAGUAAAAACAACAGAAAUAACAUUGCACGUCUCUGUAACUCAUCAUGGAUAGUUAUCCAGAGACGAUGCAACUCUGAGUGGUUUUAAAUUCCUUUUCAUUGUGAUAUUGGUAAUUUGGCAAGAAACUUUCUGUAAGUUUGUGAAUUUCAUGCACCAUUAAUUAUACAUCAUUUCCAUGUUUCAUCAGAUUGGGAUUUGGUAAUUUCAAAGUUUGGUUAUUUAUUAAUUAGUGUCUUUAUCAUUUGACUCGAUC
rnacentral:lncRNA from 1 species